CAGCCGCCGCGGUAAUACGAAGGGUGCAAGAGUUAAUCGGAAUUACUGGGCGUAAAGCGUGCGUAGGCGGUUUGUUAAGUCUGUUGUGAAAUCCCCGGGCUCAACCUGGGAAUGGCAAUGGAUACUGGCAAGCUAGAGUGUGUCAGAGGAUGGUGGAAUUCCCGGUGUAGCGGUGAAAUGCGUAGAGAUCGGAAGGAACAUCUGUGGCGAAGGCGACUAUCUGGGCCAACACUGACACUGAGGCACGAAAGCGUGGGGAGCAAACAGGAUUAGAUACCCGAGUAGUCCCUGUCUCUUAUAC
rnacentral:rRNA from 1 species